UACGUAGGGUGCGAGCGUUAAUCGGAAUUACUGGGCGUAAAGGGUGUGUAGGCGGUUUUGCAAGAUGGAUGUGAAAGCCCCGGGCUUAACCUGGGAAAGCCAUACAUGACUGCAAGACUAGAGUGCGUCAGAGGGGGGUGGAAUUCCAAAGUGGUAGCAGUGAAAUGACGUAGAUAUUUGGAAGAACACCGAUGGCGAAGGCGGCCCCCUGGGACGCAACUGACGGCUCAUACACGAAAGCGUGGGGAGCAAACAAGGGAUU
rnacentral:rRNA from 1 species